GCGCAUGCGCCGGGACCAGCUUCUGGUACUUUCGGCAAGUCUGCUGACGUAUCCUCUCAGUGAGCGUCCGGACGUCGGAUGUGGAGGUUGUGGGAUUCCUUCUUCGAGAAUAGGCACGAAAAGCCCCUUUUCAUCCUACAUUCCUAAAGGAAGGCGUCUGUUGGACCUUUCUUUCAGUCGUGAGGGAGGCGUCCACAGCCUGCGGAAGUCCUGAGUGGAGGCUUGCGGGAUCUUUUUCUGAGAAAGCGCAGGGUAAAGCCGUAGGUGAAGAUGUCCAACUAUGUGAACGACAUGUGGCCCGGCUCGCCGCAGAAGGAUUCGCCGUCGACCUCGCGGUCGGGCGAGUCCAGCCGGCUGUCGUCGCGAUCUAGGAGCCGCUCUUUUUCCAGAAGCUCUCGGUCCCAUUCCCGUGUUUCCAGUCGGUUUUCCAGGAGCCGGAGUCGGAGUUGGAGGAGCCGGUCAAGGUCCCGUUCCAGAAGGCGCCACCAGCGGAAGUACAGGCGCUACUCACGGUCAUACUCGCGGAGCCGGUCGCGAUCCGGCAGCCGCCGGUACCGAGAGAGGCGCUACGGGCUGUCUGGGAGAUAUUACCGGUCUCCUUCGCGGUACCGGUACCGGUCCCGGUCCCGUUCCCGUAGCAGGUCGCGCUCCCGGGGAAGGUCGUACUACGGAAGGGCGUACGCGAUCGCGCGGGGGCGGCGCUACUACGGUUUCGGUCGCACCGUGUACCCAGAGGAUUACGGCAGAUGGAGGGACAGAUCCAGGACAAGGUCGCGGAGCAGAACCCCCUUUCGCUUAAGUGAAAAAGAUCGAAUGGAGCUGUUAGAAAUAGCAAAAGCUAAUGCAGCGAAAGCUUUAGGAACAACUAACAUUGAAUUGCCAGCUAGCCUCAGAACUGUUCCUGUAGCCAAAGAAACAAGCCGUGGAACAGGUUUAUCAAGUAAUGGUGCAAAGUCUGAAAAAUCAUGAAUGUGGUCUGCAGACAUUGAUGAAGAAAAUCUGUUGCUGUCGGAAAAGGUAAUAGAAGAUGGAACUAGAAAUCCCAAUGAAAAAUCUUCCCAGCAAAGAAGCAUAGCUUUUAGCUCUAAUAAUUCUGUAGCAAAGCCAAUACAAAAACCAGCUAAAGCUGCCACAGAAGAGACAUCUUCAAGAUUACCAAAAAUAGAUCAGAAAAAAAGUCCAUAUGGACUCUGGAUACCUGUCUAAAAGGAGAAAAACUAAUGGCUAAGUUUGCAUGAAAACUGCACUUUACUCCAAGUUAGUGUUUCUAGCAUUAUCUCAGCCCUUUGAGCCAUUUAAGGGUAAUCCUGCAUUUAAAAACCAACACAAAAAGAUGUAAAUACUUAAUACUCAAAUAUUAACCUUUUAGGUUUCUCUUGCAGAUAUGAGAUAGCACAAAUGGACCAAAGGUUAUGCACAGGUGGGAGUCUUUUGUAUAAGUUGUAAAUACUAUUGCUUAUGUAAAAGUGAAAUUUUUUAGACACAGUAUUGAACUGUAUUGCUGUUUUCUAUAUUUAAUAAAUUUCUUGUUUUCAUACUUAAAA